rnacentral:rRNA from 2 species
AAGCUCGUAGUUGGAUCUAGGGACGCGCAUUUCAAGCGCCCGUGCCGUCGAGGUCAAACCGGCGGCUGCGUUGGCGUUGCGGGCUCGGUCCGUCGGUGCCCCACAAAGGGCUAUCGGCGUGUCAACCGGCCCGCCCGUCCCCUCCUUCUGGAUUCCCGUUCCUGCUAUUGAGUUAGUGGGGACGUCACAGGGGGCUCAUCGUCGUCGUGCAAACGGCGGCGGUGGGUCCCUGGGGCCCAGAUCGUUUACCGUGAAAAAAUUAGAGUGUUCAAAGCAGGCAGAUCCAAUUUUCUGCCACCGAAUACAUUAGCAUGGGAUAAUGGAAUAGGACCCUGUCCUCCUAUUUUCAGUUGGUUUUGGCAGCGCGAGGACUAGGGUAAUGAUUAAUAGGGAUAGUUGGGGGCAUUAAUAUUUAAUUGUCAGAGGUGAAAUUCUUGGAUUUAUGAAAGAUUAACUUCUGCGAAAGCAUCUGCCAAGGAUGUUUUCAUUAAUCAAGAACGAAAGUUAGGGGAUCGAAGACGAUCAGAUACCGUCGUAGUCUUAACCAUAAACGAUGCCGACCAGCGAUUAGGAGACAUUGAAUACAAAACACCACCAUCGGUGCGGUCGUCCUUGGCGUCGGUCUUUCGGGGCCGGCGCGGGGACGGCUUAGCCCGGUGGCACCGGUGAAUGACUCCCCUAGCAGCUUGUGAGAAAUCAUAAGUCUUUGGGUUCCGGGGGGAGUAUGGUCGCAAGGCUGAAACU